AGCGAACGCUGGCGGCAGGCUUAACACAUGCAAGUCGAGCGGGCCCUUCGGGGUCAGCGGCGGACGGGUGAGUAACGCGUGGGAACGUGCCUUCUGGUUCGGAAUAACCCUGGGAAACUAGGGCUAAUACCGGAUACGCCCUUAUGGGGAAAGGUUUACUGCCGGAAGAUCGGCCCGCGUCUGAUUAGCUAGUUGGUGGGGUAACGGCCUACCAAGGCGACGAUCAGUAGCUGGUCUGAGAGGAUGAUCAGCCACACUGGGACUGAGACACGGCCCAGACUCCUACGGGAGGCAGCAGUGGGGAAUAUUGGACAAUGGGCGCAAGCCUGAUCCAGCCAUGCCGCGUGAGUGAUGAAGGCCUUAGGGUUGUAAAGCUCUUUUAUCCGGGACGAUAAUGACGGUACCGGAGGAAUAAGCCCCGGCUAACUUCGUGC
rnacentral:rRNA from 1 species